AUUGAACGCUGGCGGCAGGCCUAACACAUGCAAGUCGAGCGGAUGACGGGAGCUUGCUCCUCGAUUCAGCGGCGGACGGGUGAGUAAUACCUAGGGAUCUGCCUGAUAGUGGGGGACAACGUUUCGAAAGGAACGCUAAUACCGCAUACGUCCUACGGGAGAAAGCAGGGGACCUUCGGGCCUUGCGCUAUCAGAUGAGCCUAGGUCGGAUUAGCUAGUUGGUGAGGUAAUGGCUCACCAAGGCGACGAUCCGUAACUGGUCUGAGAGGAUGAUCAGUCACACUGGAACUGAGACACGGUCCAGACUCCUACGGGAGGCAGCAGUGGGGAAUAUUGGACAAUGGGCGAAAGCCUGAUCCAGCCAUGCCGCGUGUGUGAAGAAGGUCUUCGGAUUGUAAAGCACUUUAAGUUGGGAGGAAGGGCAGUAAGCUAAUACCUUGCUGUUUUGACGUUACCGACAGAAUAAGCACCGGCUAACUCUGUGCCAGCAGCCGCAGUAACAC
rnacentral:rRNA from 1 species